rnacentral:rRNA from 1 species
UACGUAGGGGGCGAGCGUUGUCCGGAUUUAUUGGGCGUAAAGAGCUCGUAGGCGGCUUGGCAAGUCGGGUGUGAAACCUCCAGGCUCAACCUGGAGACGCCACUCGAUACUGCUAUGGCUAGAGUCCGGUAGGGGACCACGGAAUUCCUGGUGUAGCGGUGAAAUGCGCAGAUAUCAGGAGGAACACCGAUGGCGAAGGCAGGUCUCUGGGCCACUACUGACGCUGAGGCACGAAAGCCCAGGGGGAGCGAACGGGG